rnacentral:rRNA from 1 species
CAGCGGCAGACGGGUGAGUAACGCGUGGGAASGUACCUUUUGGUUCGGAACAACACAGGGAAACUUGUGCUAAUACCGGAUAAGCCCUUACGGGGAAAGAUUUAUCGCCGAAAGAUCGGCCCGCGUCUGAUUAGCUAGUUGGUGAGGUAAUGGCUCACCAAGGCGACGAUCAGUAGCUGGUCUGAGAGGAUGAUCAGCCACAUUGGGACUGAGACACGGCCCAAACUCCUACGGGAGGCAGCAGUGGGGAAUAUUGGACAAUGGGGGCAACCCUGAUCCAGCCAUGCCGCGUGAGUGAUGAAGGCCCUAGGGUUGUAAAGCUCUUUUGUGCGGGAAGAUAAUGAC